rnacentral:lncRNA from 1 species
AUAGUUAAAGAUAUAAAAUGUGUACCUUAUGAGUUCUUGGAAGAAUGCACUCUUCUUGGAUCCACAAAAUUCAAGUUGGCAUAUCAAAGUAGAUGUUGACAAAUAAAGAUCAAAUCAAUUGCAUAUAGUUGUUCUUUGGCUUCUUGGCACAUUAAGAUUUAGGGUCAUCACAAUUUUUGAUGUACAAGAGAAAAACUUUGUUUAACUUGAUGAAUGGUGAUAGUGAUCAAUGAAUCUUUUUGUUACUAAAAUAUCUCCUAGGAAUUCUGAAAGCAUGUUGGAAUGUUUCAAAUUCAGAGAUCUGUUUUAACAUCUUCUCCAAAGUAAAAAUUCCAUUUUUUUGUGGUUUCAUUCUACAUGAAAAUGUUGGCAAAAUUUAGUAAUUGUUGCCGUCUAUUAUUACGUUUGUUGUUUUUUCCCAAGAAAAAGAGAGUUUCUUGGCUAU